CUACCCCAGGUCAGGCGGGGUUACCCGCUGAAUUUAAGCA
rnacentral:rRNA from 1 species